AAGAAAGAAAAGAAAAGAAAAAGAAAAAAAGAAAGUUGGGGUCUUUAUGAAAAGGUGUUAAGAAAAUUGAAAAAUAACUACGUACAACUGCAAUAUGAAACCCAAGAUUAGUAUUAAAUAUAUUUUGCUCAGGUUUGCACACUGAAUUAAUUGCUAUUGUGGAUAAAUAUCAGAGUUUCUGUUUUUUUCAUUACAAGGUGAAAUUACAAGAUGAGGACAUAGUCCACCCUGAACAAUCAUAAACUAUAAACUGAAAAAUCAAACAGGCAUUUCCAAACAUUUCUGAACAGGACCUUCCUUGAUAUACAGAUGACUGACUCUUAAAUACAUAUAAAAUGAAGAAAGUGGGACUGUCAUACUGUCAUGUGGAAAUUCUACUGGCAAAAAAUUGAGUAAUAAUAUUUUGCUAUCUGU